CGGACGGGUGAGUAACGCGUGGAUAACCUGCCGUAUACUGGGGGAUAACACUUAGAAAUAGGUGCUAAUACCGCAUAAGCGCACAGUCUCGCAUGAGACGGUGUAGAAAACUCCGGUGGUAUACGAUGGAUCCGCGUCUGAUUAGCUUGUUGGGCGGGGUAACAGCCCACCAAGGCGACGAUCAGUAGCCGGCCUGAGAGGGUGAACGGCCACAUUGGGACUGAGACACGGCCCAAACUCCUACGGAAGGCAGCAG
rnacentral:rRNA from 1 species